rnacentral:rRNA from 1 species
UACGUAGGGUGCAAGCGUUAUCCGGAAUUAUUGGGCGUAAGAGCUCGUAGGCGGCCUGUUGCGUCCGCUGUGAAAUCCCGGGGCUUAACCCCGGGCUUGCAGUGGAUACGGGCAGGCUGGAGGCAGGCAGGGGAGAACGGAAUUCCCGGUGUAGCGGUGAAAUGCGCAGAGAUCAGGAGGAAUACCGAUGGCGAAGGCAGGUCUCUGGGCUGAAUACUGACGCUCAUGCACGAAAGCGUGGGGAGCAAACAGG